CGAGGACGAACGCUGGCGGCGUGCCUAACACAUGCAAGUCGAACGAAGCGUAAGAAUGGAUCCCUUCGGGGUGAAGCUCUUAUGACUUAGUGGCGGACGGGUGAGUAACGCGUGAGUAACCUGCCUUUCAGAGGGGGAUAACAGUUGGAAACGACUGCUAAUACCGCAUAACGUAUUUGAAUCGCAUGAUUCGGAUACCAAAGCUGAGGCGCUGAAAGAUGGACUCGCGUCUGAUUAGAUAGUUGGUGGGGUAACGGCCUACCAAGUCGACGAUCAGUAGCCGGACUGAGAGGUUGAUCGGCCACAUUGGGACUGAGACACGGCCCAGACUCCUACGGGAGGCAGCAGUGGGGAAUAUUGCACAAUGGGCGAAAGCCUGAUGCAGCAACGCCGCGUGAGGGAAGACGGUCUUCGGAUUGUAAACCUCUGUCUUUGGUGAAGAAGAAAGUGACGGUAACCAAGGAGGAAGCCACGGCUAACUACGUG
rnacentral:rRNA from 1 species